rnacentral:rRNA from 1 species
GCGGCAGGCCUAAUACAUGCAAGUCGAGGGGUAAGUUUAAUGCUUGCAUUAAACACGACCGGCGCACGGGUGCGUAACGCGUAUGCUACCUACCCACUACAAGGGGAUAGGCUGUGGAAACAUGGAUUAAUACCCUAUAAUGCUCAUGAAUAGCAUUGUUUUUGAGUUAAAGAUUUAUUGGUAAAGGAUGGGCAUGCGUGACAUUAGAUAGUUGGUGAGGUAACGGCUCACCAAGUCAACGAUGUCUAGGGGUUCUGAGAGGAUGAUCCCCCACACUGGUACUGAGAUACGGACCAGACUCCUACGGGAGGCAGCAGUAGGGAAUAUUGGUCAAUGGGCGAGAGCCUGAACCAGCCAUGCCGCGUGUAGGAAGACGGCCUUCUGGGUUGUAAACUACUUUUAUAUGGGAAGAAAAAAGCCUUGCGAGGCAAAUUGACGGUACCAUACGAAUAAGCACCGGCUAACUCCGUGCCAGCAGCCGCGGUAAUACGGAGGGUGCAAGCGUUGUCCGGAUUUAUUGGGUUUAAAGGGUGCGUAGGCGGAACAUUAAGUCAGUGGUGAAAUCUUACGGCUCAACCGUAAAACUGCCAUUGAUACUAUUGUUCUUGAGUACAGUUGAGGUGGUUGGAAUGCGUAGUGUAGCGGUGAAAUGCAUAGAGAUUACGCAGAACGCCAAUUGCGAAGGCAGAUCACUAAACUGUAACUGACGCUGAGGCACGAAAGCGUGGGGAGCGAACAGGAUUAGAUACCCUGGUAGUCCACGCCGUAAACGAUGGAUACUAGAUGUUCGGCUAAUUGACUGAGUGUCCAAGCGAAAGCGAUAAGUAUCCCACCUGGGGAGUACGUCCGCAAGGAUGAAACUCAAAGGAAUUGACGGGGGCCCGCACAAGCGGUGGAGCAUGUGGUUUAAUUCGAUGAUACGCGAGGAACCUUACCUGGGCUAUAAUGUGAGUGACCGUCCGUGAAAGCGGAUUUUCUUCGGACACGAAACAAGGUGCUGCAUGGUUGUCGUCAGCUCGUGCCGUGAGGUGUUGGGUUAAGUCCCGCAACGAGCGCAACCCCUAUUCUUAGUUGCCAGCGAGUAAUGUCGGGGACUCUAAGGAGACUGCCUGCGCAAGCAGUGAGGAAGGUGGGGACGACGUCAAAUCAUCAUGGCCCUUACGCCCAGGGCUACACACGUGCUACAAUGGCCGGUACAAAGGGUUGCCAACUCGCGAGAGUGCGCAAAUCCCAAAAAGCCGGUCUCAGUUCGGAUCGGAGUCUGCAACUCGACUCCGUGAAGCCGGAAUCGCUAGUAAUCGCGUAUCAGCUACGACGCGGUGAAUACGUUCCCGGGCCUUGUACACACCGCCCGUCAAGCCAUGGGAGUUGGGGGUGCCUGAAGCCGGUAGCCUAACCGGAGCUGUUUAGGGUUAUACCAGCAACUAGGGCUAAGUCGUAACAAGGUAU